GCCAGGUGGGGUGGCACACACCUGUAAUCCCAGCUGCUCGGGAGGCUGAGGCAGGAGGAUUGCUAAUUCAAACCCAAGGCACUAAGCAACUCAGUGAGACCCUGUCUCUA
rnacentral:sRNA from 1 species